rnacentral:rRNA from 1 species
AUACUAAAAACUUGCUCCUAACUAACAACCAACAAUUCAACUAACCAUAACUCUAAGAGAAGUAUCAGCGACAGAACCUCAAGAAAGGAGCUAUAGAGAAAAAGUAUCGCAAGAGAACGUUCUCAAUAAACCAAAGAAGAGAUCAACCCUCGUCCCUUGUGUAUCAUGGCUUAGCAACCCAACCAAUUAAAUUACCCUUCCCGAACCCUAGUGAGCUACUAAACCCCAGCUUAGAGCCAAUCAGUUCUUGUAGCAAAAAGAUUGAAAGAGGCUUUAGUAGAGACUAGAUAUCUAUCGCACUAGGUAAUAGCUGGUUUCUAGGGAAACAUAUCAAAGUAUGGGAGAGUUCUCACUCUACCUCCUGUCCAGGGGACAACCUCUAGACAGUAUAAAUUAUGCACACAUACAACCUUUACCAUAAUCUAGGCUUAAAAACAGCCCCGAACAAAAAACAAGUUUCAUUAUAUUGAAAAAGACAGGUAUAAUUGUAAAUAAGCAACUUUAAAGUACCUAGAAACUCCGACCAACACCUAUCGGAAGAUAUUCUGCUAAGACGAGUAUAGUACCUUACUACCCAAAAGACCUGUAACGGUACAACACAAUUACAGAUAAGGAACUCGGCAAACCCAAGCUCCGACUGUUCAUCACAAACAUUGCCAUUCGCCAUCAUGAAAGGUAAAGCCUGCCCAGUGGAAUCUCAACGGCUGCGG